rnacentral:rRNA from 1 species
UACAGAGGGUGCAAGCGUUAAUCGGAUUUACUGGGCGUAAAGGGCGCGUAGGCGGUGAUGUAAGUGAGAUGUGAAAUCCCUGGGCUUAACCUAGGACCUGCAUCUCAUACUGCAUAGCUAGAGUAUCGUAGAGGGUAGUGGAAUUUCCGGUGUAGCGGUGAAAUGCGUAGAGAUCGGAAGGAACACCAGUGGCGAAGGCGGCUACCUGGACAAAUACUGACGCUGAUGCGCGAGAGCGUGGGGAGCAAACAGG